AUCUAUUCCAGAGGAUAGGCCACAUCAAGGUCAUUUGCAUCUUCGGACUGCAUACAACCAUUAGACAUUGAGCAUGAUGCAUUGUAUUGGAUGGUUUUCUUGAAAGAUUAAUAUCAAGUCUAUCAGUGGAGGUCACAAACAGCAUCAGGCAGAGACAUGUUCUUGAAGCAGGAUCGAAAAUCUUCCUGGUUGACUGUGAUAUUUUUUUUUUUCCCUCAGAUGCUUGAACUCAACUCCUAAUCGAGUACCCCCACAUCCUGACAUUCUUGGUCAGAUCAGUUAUCCAUCAACGCUAUAUGGCCAUGAAAUUUGUAGAAAGAUUGCAACAACCCUUAUGUAGGGAAUUGGAAUGUUAGCCCCAAAUUCGUGAUGGCUAGACUCCCCAAGACAAGAUGAUUACCGUUAGAAUAAAUCACCUCAUACACAUGUACAGCUGAUAUUGAAGCUCAAAGUAUUGAGAAUGGCAUUGGAGUUGUAAGGCAUGGAUGGGAGUGGAACUGUAUGCAUGUCACCUGCGUUAACUAAGUUGCAAUCGCAAGCGACUGUAUUUUCUUAAGAUACACAUUUUCAUAUCAACAUCCUUUUUGUCAUUAUCUUUUA